AGAUUUCUAAAAGGAUCACCCUGGUAAAGGAAACAGAAGUUCAACUGCAGCAAAACAGAACCGGUAACACACAGAAAACAAGAGCUUUCAAUGAGGGUCAGGAUGAAGGAAUAGAAAGGAGGAAGAGAAGUGAAGGAGAGCAGGUCAACAGGGCUUGGUUACAGGCUGGGGGACUCAGGCUGCACCAGCUGGCUUGAUGCUUAUGUCAUUCAUCAGACUAGGAAUAACUGAGAAGGAGCAGAAGAGGAAAAAGAGUGGGGAUGCAAUUGUGAGCAUAUAGAAUUGAAUGUGCCUGCGAGACAACCAAGAGGAAAUGCUGCGAGGGAGUGGUCCUGAUGAGCUCAUGUCUGAGGUUCUGGGAACCAUUGAAGUAGGUGAGGCCAGCAAGCGGUGUUGGCCUGUUUGGCUUGGGCAGACGGAGUUCAGUCCUUCCUGCUCACUUUGAGGCGAUGUCAACAUUCAGAGGCCCAGGACCAAUGAUCUGAUGCCUAAUGAUGACAUUACUCACUUGUGAGGACGAGAACUAAGGUCACCUUGGGUUUGUGACAGUCACACAACAAGCAGCAAGUAAAUAAAAGGUCAAUCGAAUGAUAAACCUUCAAACAAAAAGAUGCCAUCCAAUUUUAAACUAAAUUAUUGUAUAAAUAUUGGGCCCUGGUUUCUUUACCGGGUCCUCACCCUUUA
rnacentral:lncRNA from 1 species